GGUUAUCUUUAGUGGAGAAGUAAUGACUAAAAAGCCAGCUUUUAGCAGUAAAGGUUUUCUCAAGUAAAGAUGCUCAUUUAAAAUUGAUGCAUAAAACAUUGGUAUCUAUAUAUGACUAAACAAUAAGACUGACUAGCAGAUGGGACUUCAGUUGGGUAACAGGUACAAAACUAGCCAUAGUGGUAAAGGAUGAUACAAUUUGAAUCUUCCAUACAGUGUUCUCUUAUAAGAAAUAAGUACAGCCAGAUGUAAGCAAUAAUAGGUUUCUAUUUUUUCUCGUUUCCCUUUGAGUUUUCAGCAAAGAGCAGCUCUCAGAACGAGAAGAUUCCAAAAGACAUUUUAAAUCCUUUCAAAUGGUCUUCAGUAUUCUUCCAAAAGUAAUGGGUGAAAUCUUUCGUCCUUUUAACAUUUAAAAAAUUGUUCUGGAAAAGAACAAACAAGUUAUUAGAGAUGAAAGCCAUAGAGCUUUAUAGGUGCAGUUAAACCACCUAUGAAAGUUACAGAAUGAGUGUUGAGAUCAGUCUGUAGUCAACAAAACAGUGAAAAUGGUUUAUCUUUUAGCUUUAUUUUGAAGCCAAAAUUUGCUUUUAUUCUUCUUACAGAAUAACCAAGCAGAUCUAGAGAAUGCCACAGAGGUGCUCUCGGGCUACCUUGAACGAGAUAUUUCCCAAGAUUCUCUGCAGGAUAUAAAGCAGAAAGUACAAGACAAGUACAGAUACUGUGAGAGUCGACGAAGGGUUUUGUUACAGCAUGUGCAUGAAGGCUAUGAAAAAGAUCUGUGGGAGUACAUUGAGGACUGAGAAUGGCCCUGCAUAAAAUGAACUCUGAAAACUUUACCAUCUAGAGUGCUCAUGCAAUUAAAUGCUCUUUCUGGUGGUGUAUGUCUGUUGCCGGCCACGGGCCUCAUGCCUUGAAUUCCUGCUCUUGAUCAGGGACAAGGGAGGUCAAGCUCUGACUAAUGCCAUGACCUGAUUAAGGGCUACAGCAGGGAGCUUUGUUGCUACAGCUCAUGAAUUAACCUGUCCCAACCUAAUCCCCCUCCAUGGCAUCAUGCCUCUACCCAAGCCUUUGUGUGCCCAUGUUAUGCACACAGCUGUAGGCAUUCUUAAGUUCCCUGUUGCAUCCAAUGGAAGCAUUUUAAAAUUUCUUUUACUUUUUGGUUUUCCUUUAAUUGCUGCUUUUCAGAUUUUAGUUAUGGCUCGUCUGCUCACCCCUUCUCUACGUUAGGGUGUCAAAGAGAAUGUUUUGCUUUAAAUAUAAAUAGCCAUUCAUUUAGUCUCAGAUUGUGAAUUUAAAAUGGCGGAUACCGAAAUUGCUUGUGUGUGUUGCUGUGGGUUUGGUUUGAAGGCAAACACCCCUAGAACAUGAUAUUCCCAUCUAGUGCAUUUAAAUAGAAAUCACUGAGUUUGCUGCUUUUUUAUUGUCAGCAGAUAGAAUUAAUAAUGCAUUUUAGCUGUGAUGUCCAUUUUUAUGAAAUUCCUACUAAGAGCUAUGUUAAAAGUAAAGGAUGGUGGUGGUUGUAUUAACUAUAUACCUGUUUAGGCCAUUCUGGCUGUGGUAUUUUUCAAUAGGUCAGCAUCCGUAAAUCUGUCAGUUUUAUACAGGAGUGCAGAGUGAACUAGGCAACUAGAUUAAGAGGUCUAAAUAUGAAAUACCAGUUGAGGCUGAGGACCUCUUUGUCUUCCUUUAAAUGUCUUGUGCCUAGGGAGUGUUUACCAUUUGUGAGGCAGCUUUGUCUGCUCUUAUACUGUACAUCCUAUUACUCCAUUGGGAAGUAGGUUCACUUUCCUCUGGCCUUUUGCCUAAGUUAGGCUUUGCUGAAUCAACCCUACUUUUCCUUUUAGAAAAGGUUGUUACAGGAGAUGUACUGGCAACUAUUCUUUUCCCAUCAAAAAUCAGUGAAUGUUUGCUGAGUAUAAAUGCUGCUUCCUUAAACCACUUGUCGCUUUAGGAUCAACUUUACCUGUACCUUUUCUCCUUUCCUCCCUUGCCACCUCAGGUGCAAAUCUGAACUCAGUGUCUGCUUCUUCCAUUUUCUCGUCUCCCUCCCCUCUUCCCCCAUUAUCCAUAUGACAUUAUUUUACUUCAAAUGACAGCAUCAAUCUUAAAAAGACAUACAUUAAAACUAAGGAGAUUUUUUUAAAGAAAGCCUGAGUAAGUUCCUUUCCCUGGUAACUUUGAAAAGCAGUCAGAGUUGCUAUAUAGAUACAUGUGGCUCCUUUAAAAUGCUUUGUGUAUGUGUGGUGUUUAAAAAAAAAAUCUUACCAGUUAACUUUGCAGUGUCUAGGUUUGAGUGUCAUAAAUCCACGUGUUCCUGUUGCAACAAAUACCCAAAAAUUGUGUGUGCACUUCCUAAUACCAGUCUUCGCCCAUGGAGGAACAGUGCUUUUUAGAGAUGCUUUCUAUUUCAAUGUUGGCAUACUGCCUGAGGGUAUUGCAGUUGUGGGUGCAUUCCCUAAUUUGUAUGAUCAAGAUGAACUGGCCCUUUUCUACCAAGCUUUUAACAGAUACCACCAUAUUUGACAGAAUUCCCAGAGUGAAUUUUAAUGUUGUUAGUAGAUUAAGUGCCCGCAGCUGGGAUAGGCAAGCCAUGACAGCUUCCCUGUUUCACCUACAUAAGUCUUAUCUGAGGGAUCUAUUCACAGUAAGCACCAAGGUCUCCAUGUCUUGAGGUCAGUUUCAUUGUCUUUUAAAAAGUGCAUGCUUCAUUUGAACAAUUCAUUCAGCAGCAGAUGGACUUUCAGUGAUUUAAAAUAAAAUUUUGAUCCAAAGCUCAGGACACAAACCACAGUGGUAAAAUUGAGUAGCAUAUAAUAUCAGACUAAAUUAUCUGUAAUUUUCCACAACUCAGAUUGUAUGUGUUUUAUGUGUGUUUAAAUAAAUAUGUUAGAUACACAUGUGUAUACAUACACACAUAUACAACAGAUCCAAGACUGGCUGACUUCAUUUGAAAUGGUUGAAUCUGCUGUGUAAUAAAGUGGUUCAACCAUGAUUAGGAACUGAAAUUUAGUAGAAGAGGGAAAAGGAGUUAAUGUAACAAAUUAUUUUAGCUACAAACCCCGGUAAUAGAGCACUUGGGGGAUGGGAUGGGGUGGGUUGGUGAGACAAUCAGAUUGGUAAAUUGAUUAAAUGCUCCUAACCCUGUAAUUUUGUGCAUAGAGCACCCUGUGCUGUGGAAAUAACUGUUCUUAGAUUUCAUUGUAACUGGACUGUUCAGGUUGCCCAGAGGGAAAGAACAUUCCUAAUUCUAAUAAAAUAAACUUUUAUUUUGUUAUUCC
rnacentral:sRNA from 1 species